rnacentral:tRNA from 2 species
GGGCAGUUAGCUCAGCGGUAGAGCGCUUCGUUCACACCGAAGAGGUCGCUGGUUCGAGUCCAGCACUGCCCACCA